rnacentral:rRNA from 1 species
AUUGAACGCUGGCGGCAGGCCUAACACAUGCAAGUCGAACGAGUGGCGGACGGGUGAGUAAUGUCUGGGAAACUGCCCGAUGGAGGGGGAUAACUACUGGAAACGGUAGCUAAUACCGCAUACCAUCGGAUGUGCCCAGAUGGGAUUAGCUAGUAGGUGGGGUAAUGGCUCACCUAGGCUACGCUCCCUAGCUGGUCUGAGAGGAUGACCAGCCACACUGGAACUGGGACACGGGCCAGACUCCUACGGGAGGCAGCAGUGGGGAAUAUUGCACAAUGGGCGCAAGCCUGAUGCAGCCAUGCCGCGUGUAUGAAGAAGGCCUUCGGGUUGUAAAGUACUUUCAGCGAGGAGGCGUUACUCGCAGAAGAAGCACCGGCUAACUCCGUGCCAGCAGCCGCGGUAAUUC